AUUACAGAUAGUAGAAAUAGUUGUAUUAGAGAUAAAUGUGAGGUGCAAUAAACCAUCAACACCCUAGCAAGACCAACCACUUCCUACAGAUAACCAAUAAUUAUUAAGUUGCAAGCAGAAAGGCGCAAUAAUGAGUAAUAAAAUAAGAUUAAGUAAAUUCACUUGGCUCUUUUUGGAUGUGGAAUUACUACGCAACUUUCGCAUGACCAAAGAAGAGUGGAACAGGCCUUCAAAAAAAUUAAAAGAAAUAAUCCAGACCUGCACGAAACAACAAUAUUAACUAAGUGGGCAUCAGAUAUGACCCGACUUCGGAGAAGAGCGAGCUUAUUAUGUUUACCGAAAACGGCGUUGUCAAGUUUACCAAUAUCAGCUGAUCCUUUUAAAUACAUAUAUUAUAAAGA